rnacentral:rRNA from 1 species
CCUACGGGUGGCUGCAGUGGGGAAUAUUGCACAAUGGGCGCAAGCCUGAUGCAGCCAUGCCGCGUGUGUGAAGAAGGCCUUCGGGUUGUAAAGCACUUUCAGCGGGGAGGAAGGCGGUGAGGUUAAUAACCUCAUCGAUUGACGUUACCCGCAGAAGAAGCACCGGCUAACUCCGUGCCAGCAGCCGCGGUAAUACGGAGGGUGCAAGCGUUAAUCGGAAUUACUGGGCGUAAAGCGCACGCAGGCGGUCUGUCAAGUCGGAUGUGAAAUCCCCGGGCUCAACCUGGGAACUCCAUUCGAAACUGGCAGGCUAGAGUCUUGUAGAGGGGGGUAGAAUUCCAGGUGUAGCGGUGAAAUGCGUAGAGAUCUGGAGGAAUACCGGUGGCGAAGGCGGCCCCCUGGACAAAGACUGACGCUCAGGUGCGAAAGCGUGGGGAGCAAACAGGAUUAGAUACCCCAGUAGUC